AACGAACGCUGGCGGCAUGCCUAGUACAUGCAAGUCGAACGAUCACUUCGGUGGUAGUGGCGCACGGGUGCGUAACGCGUGGGAAUCUGCCCUUGGGUUCGGAAUAACGUCGGGAAACUGACGCUAAUACCGGAUGAUGACGUAAGUGCAAAGAUUUAUCGCCCAGGGAUGAGCCCGCGUAGGAUUAGCUAGUUGGUGGGGUAAAGGCCUACCAAGGCGACGGUCCUUAGCUGGUCUGAGAGGAUGCUCAGCCACACUUGGCAUGAGACGCGGCCCAGACUCCUACGGGAGGCAGCAGUAGGGAAUAUUGGACAAUGGGGGCAACCCUGAUCCAGCAAUGCCGCGUGAGUGAUGAAGGCCUUAGGGUUGUAAAGCUCUUUUACCCGGGAUGAUAAUGACAGUACCGGGAGAAUAAGCCCCGGCUAACUCCGUGCCAGCAGCCGCGGUAA
rnacentral:rRNA from 1 species